rnacentral:lncRNA from 1 species
CUGGGUUCCCUGCCCUGUUGUGAGGGGAGGGGGAGCCAGCGCCGCCAACGCCAGACGCGCGCCCCCUCCCUUUCCCGCAGAUUUUUGGCUGCACGUGCGACUCUUCUAUGGCGCGGAGCUGGUGCGCGAAGCCACAGCGCGCGCGGCCGAGGGCUGCAGCUUGAGUCCGCGCGCGGCCGCCGCUGCCGCCGAGCUCCUGCUAGGGCCGCCGCCGCGCGUCGCGCAGGUUCGUUUCCCGGAGCCGCCGCCCGGCGCCCGCGUGCUGCGGCGCCUGCUGCCCCACCUGGAGCGCGGAGUGCUGCUCUGGGUGGCGCCCGAGGGCGUCUUCGCCAAGCGCCUGUGCCAGGGCCGUGUGUACUGGCGCGGCCCGCUCGCCCCGCACCGCGCGCGGCCCAACAAACUGGAGCGAGAGCGCACCUGCCAGCUCCUCGACACGCGCCGCUUCCUCGCGGAACUGAGAGCCCACCUGCAGGAUGGUCGCCAGGAGCCCGAGUACCAGAUCCGGCUGUGCUUUGGCGAGGAGUACCCGGGGCCCCCGGACCAGCCCGAGGAGCGUCUCAUUAUGGCCCAUGUGGAGCCAGUCUUCGCGCGGGAGCUCCUCCUACACUCGAAGCUUCACGGCCAGGUGCCUCGAUGGCGCGUUCCCAGCCCCGCAUCCCCGACAGCGUCACUCACCUGCUGACGCAGCUGAGUCAGCCCUGAGCGGCUGUUUCCCCCUCCCGUACCCUCUAAAGCAGUCCCCACAGGGUGCAGAUCCCACCCCAGCCCUGCCCCAGCUGAGCCAGGGAUCUUUAGGUCUCGCCUCACUCAUCGCCCAGGUAGGUUGAGACAGCGGAAGCCAGUCACGGCCUUCAAUCUCUCAGCCAAUGAGAUGGAGCCCCGGGAACCCAGGAAGGAGGCGCG